rnacentral:miRNA from 1 species
GGGAAUGACGCCGGGUCCGAAA